rnacentral:lncRNA from 1 species
CUGGCCACCCCUUCCUCCAGAAAGCCUUCACUGACACCCCCAGCUUCUCAUCACCUCCAGGUCUGUGAUGUGUUGUAUAAAUUUUGGAAAAUCAUUGAGCCACAAAAUUGUAAAUUCAAGGAAGCUUCUAGUUUUAGUCAUCUGAAAGGCAGGGCUCCAGUUUCCCUGAGUUCCGGCAACGCUUCACUCUGGUGUUGACUUCAUUCUUGUGUGAGCUUUCUUCAGGAGGCAAGAAUAAUGCCAAGCCCGCAUCUUUACAGCCUGCUGUCCCAAGGAAUUAAAACAAUAACAGGAGAAUGGAAUAUCAGGACAGGGAAACAAGGAAAAACAUUAUCAUAGUGGUCCAGAACAAAGGGGAGCUGAUGAAGAAUUCUAGAACUGGAAGACAUAGUCAGACCCAAAUGCCUGUUUUUGAAAGACAGUGGAAAACGGAGAAGAGGGAAGCACCAGCAAGACAGAAAGGAGCACAACCAACCUCCCCCGAACGGGAGGCGCAGAGGAAGCAGGCGGCUGUGCUCCUUGAAAGCAGCCAUCCGUCCAACUCCAUUUCAAUAAUGUUUGCAAUUUUCCUCCUACUGGGUUGACUGGAGGCACAGCUGCCCCAUACGCGGGUCCAUGCGCCCAGCUUUUGCUAAAAAUGACCCUAACAAAUAAAAGGUGAAGCGA